rnacentral:rRNA from 1 species
UAACCAGGAACCGUACCCCAAACCGACACAGGUGGUUGGGUAGAGAAUACCAAGGCGCUUGAGAGAACUCGGGUGAAGGAACUAGGCAAAAUGGCACCGUAACUUCGGGAGAAGGUGCGCCGGUGAGGGUGAAGCAUUUACUGCGUAAGCCCACGCCGGUCGAAGAUACCAGGCCGCUGCGACUGUUUAUUAAAAACACAGCACUCUGCAAACACGAAAGUGGACGUAUAGGGUGUGACGCCUGCCCGGUGCCGGAAGGUUAAUUGAUGGGGUUAGCUAACGCGAAGCUCUUGAUCGAAGCCCCGGUAAACGGCGGCCGUAACUAUAACGGUCCUAAGGUAGCGAAAUUCCUUGUCGGGUAAGUUCCGACCUGCACGAAUGGCGUAACGAUGGCGGCGCUGUCUCCACCCGAGACUCAGUGAAAUUGAAAUCGCUGUGAAGAUGCAGUGUAUCCGCGGCUAGACGGAAAGACCCCGUGAACCUUUACUAUAGCUUUGCACUGGACUUUGAAUUUGCUUGUGUAGGAUAGGUGGGAGGCUUUGAAGCGUGGACGCCAGUUCGCGUGGAGCCAUCCUUGAAAUACCACCCUGGCAACUUUGAGGUUCUAACUCAGGUCCGUUAUCCGGAUCGAGGACAGUGUAUGGUGGGUAGUUUGACUGGGGCGGUCUCCUCCUAAAGAGUAACGGAGGAGUACGAAGGUGCGCUCAGACCGGUCGGAAAUCGGUCGUAGAGUAUAAAGGCAAAAGCGCGCUUGACUGCGAGACAGACACGUCGAGCAGGUACGAAAGUAGGUCUUAGUGAUCCGGUGGUUCUGUAUGGAAGGGCCAUCGCUCAACGGAUAAAAGGUACUCCGGGGAUAACAGGCUGAUACCGCCCAAGAGUUCAUAUCGACGGCGGUGUUUGGCACCUCGAUGUCGGCUCAUCACAUCCUGGGGCUGAAGCCGGUCCCAAGGGUAUGGCUGUUCGCCAUUUAAAGUGGUACGCGAGCUGGGUUUAGAACGUCGUGAGACAGUUCGGUCCCUAUCUGCCGUGGACGUUUGAGAUUUGAGAGGGGCUGCUCCUAGUACGAGAGGACCGGAGUGGACGAACCUCUGGUGUUCCGGUUGUCACGCCAGUGGCAUUGCCGGGUAGCUAUGUUCGGAAUAGAUAACCGCUGAAAGCAUCUAAGCGGGAAACUAGCCUCAAGAUGAGAUCUCACUGGGACCUUGAGUCCCCUGAAGGGCCGUCGAAGACUACGACGUUGAUAGGUUGGGUGUGUAAGCGCUGUGAGGCGUUGAGCUAACCAAUACUAAUUGCCCGUGAGGCUUGACCAUAUAACACCCAAGCAAUU